GAACUCUGAUUUCUCUUCAGAUCACAUAGACCUUUAGCCUUUUACCAAAGAUUUCUGUGGGGAGGAAGCCAUACACUGAAUAAGGAUUCAGUAAAUGUCCUCAUAGUUUAUGCA